CUUUCAGGUAAAUCGUAAACAUGGCUUAGUUGCCGUUGCUGCCGAGUUCGAAUUUCCUUCCAAUUUUUCUAGGUUAAGCUUCAAACACAUUCUGGCUUACAUGUCUCGUGUUAUCCAUCAGCUUGAUCAGCAGCGGGUUUGCAGUUCGUACUUUGUUGUUUGGGUUGCAAUAUUAGGAUUACUCGUGUGAGGCUCGGGUACUCUAUCUGCUGUGGCUGCCAUCAGUUCUCAAUCAUGUUGGAGAUUCUUCUGGUAGUGCUGGAAUUUAUUCACGAAAUCGAGAUACCUGCUACGUGUUGCAGGUCUCUGGAGCAUCACACCAUCAAUUGUAGGGAAAAAAAACAAAAACCGAAGAGGCGAGAAAGAGUGAGAUUCUGAGGAAUAAUGGAAUUUUAGAAUCUUAACUCAAAGUAAAGGUGAUGGGCUGGAUUCUCAAGUCAAGAAUAUUGCUUAUUCUUUCCUACUCAAGGCCACCAAAAAUGGGUUCCAUCUUUAUCCGAUCCUCUUGGUGAACAGUUUAUAUAAGAUUCCUCUCAUCAAGCAUUCACGGAUGAUUAUUGGUAAGUGAUUUUCUUUUUCGGCCAAGUAUUGUUAUUAAUUAAUAUAUUCCUUGCUAAUUAAUUGCUCUUUUCUGUGAAUAUUUUUAUAACUUAUGUGCUAAUAUCCAUUUAGUCAAUUGGCAAGUUGCUGUCUGAACUCUAAUCAGUCGUUGUGCGAGAGAAUGAAAUAUUUGAUUACAUUAUGGAUGCCAUUUUACGAAAGUAAUACUAAUAUUGAAGCUCAAGUUCC